ensembl:lncRNA
AUGGCGGAAUCGGUGUGUGACGUAGAGCACGAGGCCGUGAAGCCUCCACCCAAGCGCAGGCGCAUCCUGGACCCCUCGGCCAUCGUCUCGGUGCCCGUUUACUCCAACAAGGUGAGCAGCAGUUUGCAGCUGAGGCCCAUGGCCGCCGUCUUCACCGAGAAGGACAACUCCGACGACGGUUUGUGGGCUCGCUUUUCUUCUCGAGAAGCUCCAGCAGACGUGGUCCACCUCAGCGACUCUGAGGACGAGGCUGAAGUCCAGCUGGAGACGACAGAACUAGCUGCUGUCCGCUGCCCGUCUCCUCCAGAGAGUCCGGUCCAGAAACAGUCCCGACAGGUCCAGAAGAAGAUCAGUGAGAUCGACAGAAAGCUCCAGGCGGUGAACUCCUUCCUGUCUCCUGAGCCUCGGGACAGGAAGUGCCUCAGCGAGCCGGAGGAGGACGUCAUCGUGAACCCGGUCUCCGAACGACAGGGUUCUCUGUACAGCUCCUCGGUCCGGGAGAUCCCCUUGAAGAUCCGCUGCCGGACUGACGUCCACAAGGUCCUGGUUCUGUCGGUACGUCACCCCCCCCCCCCCAGGACCUGGCUCAGGACCCCAUGA